CAUUGACCUGCAUGACUUUGACUUCACCAGAUCAACAACAUGCUUUUGUGAUUCUAUUCUACAACGUGAUUAAAUUAUAUUAUACUAGGUUUUAUGCUUUCAUUUGAAAAUCACAUUCAUUUUACUGCAGUAAUGGCAUGGCCAUGGACAUCAAUAUCAAUUAUAUGUGGCACAAUUAGAUGAUCAAGAAUGCAUUGGCAUUGAUAUCAAUUGUAUCUGGCACAGUUAGAUCGUCAAGAAUUUACUAGUACAACUAGACUGCAAUGUGGGGGGUUAUGUACUGUUGCUCAUUGUUUUCUUGUGUUGAAUAUUGAACCUAACAAUAUCUGCACUUUUGGAAAAGUAGGUAUAAGUGCACAAUUGAUGGACUAGUAUUCACAAAGUUAGCUUUUGGCGUAGGGCAAAAGUCACCUAAUCUUUCACAAGUUAGGGGGGGAAAUGUGCUUGCGAGUGGUCUGAUUUGUUGCCAUCUUAGAUGCUCUGUUUGCCGACACCCUAGGCCCUACACCAUAUUUUUUUUCGAAAUACCUAGGCCCUACACCAUAGACGAGACAAUAACUGUUGCUUCACAAAUUGCAGGAAAAUCACCAUCCAGUGGCAUGAAUCUUUCUUUCCCUAGGACUCCAUGAUAGCUCCACAUGCUACAUUUCGUUGCAAUACUAGUCAAGCGAACUAUGGGGGCAAGAGGAAAGUGCAAGGCCACUCACAGUCCUUGUAGCUUAUUCAUUCGGGCCCACUGGUCAGGCACUCCACCAUGGAACAAGUUCCUGCUCAGAUCUCUGCAACAAAGGAAACAAAGAUGAAUCUGACAAGAUGUUGAGAACUCACAGCUGGAGAAGGUUGGGGAAGUCGGCGAAGUCAGGCGGGAGCUCGCCGGAGAAGUUCUGCUUCUCGAGGGAUCUGCAUAGAUCGUCAUGGCCUCAAAACCCCUCACGCCAUUUUGUUGGCGAAAGAAGUGUGAAUAAGUAAGAAGUGAAGCGUACAUCUCGGUGACAUAGCAGACGGUGCCGUUGGAGAAGGAGCAGUCACAGUGCACACCGGAGCCGCUGUAGUCGCAGGGACCGGCGGCGAAGUCCCAGUGCGACACGCCGAGCGCGGCCGCGAUCCGGCGAAGGACACGCCCUGCAAAAGAAGAUUGCAAGCACACGGUUUCAGCAGAGGAGGAGAACAGAGCGUUUGGGUUGAAGAGAGGAAGGGGAGCAAAGGGAUUUCUGGUUGCAGCAACGUGCCCUGGUUUGCAGCUGUUCAGGCUCUGAUCGAUGAACACGUUCACAAGUGACAGAUGAUCGGUGAGCAGCACCCAACCAAAUAGGGCACAUUGCGCUGAAUUCUCGGGUUGGGUGUUGCAGUAAUCAGGCAACUCAAGACUCCCGAACAAGGUUGAAGAACAUGGUGCGUGCGCAGCCAGUUCUCCCCAAACCGGUGCGGGGAGGCAAGAACUGAACCAACCAAGAAAGGACAAUGCAGUAGGCAGGAGCACGAGGAGAGUCCUACAGGACUCACCUUCUGCCGGGACGAGCCUAGGAGCCGGAGGAGGAGCGGCCGCCUGAGCCCCUGCGCCAUGGACGGCCUCCGCGAGCAGCAAGCCGAGGAAGAAGACCAAGCUCCAGGCACUUGGACAUGGCCGCCGCCACGCCAUCCCUCCCUCCCUCCCUCUAGUCCCUCCCGUCUUCCAGCCGGAGGUCAAGGCAGUGGCAGUGGAUCCUGGAAAGCAGUGAGUGACUUGGCUUUCUCUCUCGGGUCUCUCCUAUAAAGGCGUACGAGUCUUUUGGAGCCCUUUCCAGUAUCACUAUUCACUGGCGCCGGCAUGUCAUGGGCCCCUGCAGGCAAGCACCAGUGCAAAUGCCUCACGAGUGCGCACUUGGAACUGCAGCUCUGCCUCUGCCUGUCCGGGGCGAGACCGCGAGAGAGGGACGCGUAGGGGACGCGGUGGCCGGUGGAUGUCGCUCUUGUGCCGUGCUGUGCUGCCCUGGACGUUUGUGGGUGGCUGCUGGCUGCCGCUUUUGUUCCGGAUGAUUUCUUUCGAGUGGUUGCCUUUUGCUGCAUUUCCGUUUCCUCUCCGUCGAACAAAUGUCCAUAGAAUCGAUCGAACCAUUAGUCGUUUAUUAUAUACUAUAUGUUCACCCUUAGCAUAAUUAUUAGGAGGGCCACAUUCUGUCAGACCAUGUAUGAUGAUUGAUGAACAUGCAACUUAUAUGGUUUUCUUGAAGACGAAUAUGGUAUUGCUCUCGUACUUUUUAUAUUACCAUAAUCAAAUUUAGUUUUUAUUACUCAA